GGGCCGCUAGCUCAGGGGGAGAGCGCUACCUUCACACGGUAGAAGUCACAGGUUCAAAUCCUGUGCGGCCCACCA
rnacentral:tRNA from 2 species